UACGAAGGGGGCUAGCGUUGCUCGGAAUUACUGGGCGUAAAGGGCGCGUAGGCGGCCUCUUAAGUCGAACGUGAAAUCCCCGGGCUCAACCCGGGAACUGCGUCCGAUACUGGGAGGCUUGAAUCCGGGAGAGGGAUGUGGAAUUCCAGGUGUAGCGGUGAAAUGCGUAGAUAUCUGGAGGAACACCGGUGGCGAAGGCGGCAUCCUGGACCGGUAUUGACGCUGAGGCGCGAAAGCCAGGGGAGCGAACGGG
rnacentral:rRNA from 1 species